UCCAUUAUCGUAUAAAGCCCAACCUAACAAUUUGAUUGGUCCGUCCAGCUCUGGUUCGAGCAUAGUUGCUCUACAACAGAUUAAGUCCAGAUCGAACUUCCCGACCUCAAAUGUUGUGGGCGAGGCUAAUACCUCAGAAAAAAGGU